rnacentral:lncRNA from 1 species
AUUUUUUUUAGGCAGGUGUCAUUCUGGUGUCAAGGUCUCCAUCUUUCAAGCAAGCUUACAUAUGCAUGGGAAGUUUAUUGCUUUAUUCCUUUCCUUAAGCUGCUCCUACACACUGGCUUUUUUUGAGCAGUGGCCCUCGUUUACUUUUGUUUUGUCAGGAUGCUCAGAGGGGGAUUUGUGAUGUGGGGAACUCUCCUGGAGCUCCCUUCCUUCCUUCCUUCCUUCCUUCCUUCCUUCCUUCCUUCCUUCCUUCCUUCCUUCCUUCCUUCCUUCCUUCCUUCCUUCCUUCCUUCCUUCCUNUCCUUCCUUCCUUCCUUCCUUCCUUCCUUCCUUCCUUCCUUCCUUCCUUCCUUCCUUCCAUUUUACUGAUUCAAAGGGACAAAAUAAGUUUAAAAUGCAUUUGAUGCAUUAUUUGCUUGCUGUUUCCUUCAAGGGAGGAGAAAGCCAGAAAAGUACGGUGGAUGAAAAAUCCAAUUACCACUUGAAAAUGUGGUCGACUCCAUCAAACCGUAUGAUCCUUCAGCGAGAGGGCAUUAUUGUUCUUACGUCGAAUCUCUUCGGGAAGGCGACAGUGUGCCAGGUUGUUUCUCAAGACAGGACUGAGGCAGGACACAGAACCCAAAUCCAGCUUUGGGAUGAGCUUGCGCCGUACCUUGGGACUCAGAAUCAUCUGCGGAUUCCCGUGGGGGAAAACCAACACAGCAUCAUAGCCUUGCCUCCUGCACACCAUUAGACUUACUGGAGAAAUAAAACCAUAUGCCUUUGCCUGUUACCA